GGCGGCAGGCUUAACACAUGCAAGUCGAGCGGAUGAAAGUAGCUUGCUACUGGAUUCAGCGGCGGACGGGUGAGUAAUGCUUAGGAAUCUGCCUAUUAGUGGGGGACAACGUUCCGAAAGGAGCGCUAAUACCGCAUACGUCCUACGGGAGAAAGCAGGGGACCUUCGGGCCUUGCGCUAAUAGAUGAGCCUAAGUCGGAUUAGCUAGUUGGUAGGGUAAAGGCCUACCAAGGCGACGAUCUGUAGCGGGUCUGAGAGGAUGAUCCGCCACACUGGGACUGAGACACGGCCCAGACUCCUACGGGAGGCAGCAGUGGGGAAUAUUGGACAAUGGGGGGAACCCUGAUCCAGCCAUGCCGCGUGUGUGAAGAAGGCCUUUUGGUUGUAAAGCACUUUAAGCGAGGAGGAGGCUACCUAGAUUAAUACUUUAGGAUAGAGGACGUACUCGCAGAAUAAGCACCGGCUAA
rnacentral:rRNA from 1 species